rnacentral:RNase_P_RNA from 1 species
UAAGGGUGAAAAGGUGCGGUAAGAGCGCACCGCCGCCGCAGUAAUGCGACGGGCAGGGCAAACCCCACACGGAGCAAGACCAAAUAGGGAGGGAGCCUCGGCUUCGGCCGGGGCACGUGCUGGCUCGGCGCGUCAUACCUCCGGGUAGGUCGCCAGAGCCACGCAGCGAUGCGUGGCCCAGAGGAAUGACCGUCCUGCCGGUUUUCCGGCAGACAGAAUUCGGCUUACAGGUCCGGCUGCCAC